UUCAAACCACAGGAGCAAGCAAUGCAAGCUCUCAAAUAUAGUCUCUGACAAAGACGACAUUAGAUGGCAAAUCAGAACUUCUGAAAGAAAUCAUAUAUAUGUUUAGUGAUCUCCUCAGGCCUCUCCUGCUGGAGGAAGUGGGCAACUCCUUCCAUUACAACUACUUCUUGCAACAAUGGAACAUCUCUCUUGAACCCACCCUUCUCUAUAUAAUCCUUGUUACCUAAAGAAUUGUAGGUAAGGUCCUGAUCUCCAACAAAGAACUUAACAGGUACUUUCACUUGAGCCCCCGUCCACGGCGCAGUGAGUUCCCAGUUU
rnacentral:misc_RNA from 1 species